GGCAAGCGCUCAUGUUCUGACCUCGUCUGUGCUCUGAAGGUGGCGAGACCGCGGAACUACAGCCAUGACUGAAGCUGAUGUAAAUCCAAAGGCCUACUCCCUCGCAGACACCCACCUCACCGAGAAACUAUUGGACCUUGUUCAGCAAUCGUGUAACUACAAGCAACUUGAGAAGGGAGCUGAUGAGGCUACCAAAACCCUCAACAGAGGCAUCUCUGAGUUCAUUGUGAUGGCUGCAGAAGCCAAGCCCCUGGAGAUCAUCCUGCACCUACUGCUGCUGUGUGAAGACAGGAAUGUCUCCUAUGUGUAUGUGUGCUCCAAGCAGGCCCUGGGUUGGGCCUGUGGGGUCUCCAGGCCUGUCAUUGCCUGUUCUGUCACCAUCAAAGAAGGCUCACAGCUGAAGCAGCAGAUCCAAUCAAUUCAGCAGUCCAUUGAAAGGCUCUUAGUCUAAACUGGUGGCCUUUGCCACACCCUCCCUGUUGACUCCUCCCCCAGAGGUUGUGUAUCAUAUUGUCUGUGUUACCAUGUAGUAUUUCCAGCUACUUUCUAUUUAUAAAAUAUUUCAGUACUAAAA